UACGAAGGGGGCUAGCGUUGUUCGGAAUUACUGGGCGUAAAGCGCGCGCAGGCGGCUAUCCAAGUCAGUGGUGAAUGCCCGGAGCUCAACUCCGGAACUGCCAUUGAAACUGUUUAGCUUGAGGACGAGAGAGGUGAGUGGAAUUCCCAGUGUAGAGGUGAAAUUCGUAGAUAUUGGGAAGAACACCGGUGGCGAAGGCGGCUCACUGGCUCGAUACUGACGCUGAGGUGCGAAAGCGUGGGGAGCAAACAGG
rnacentral:rRNA from 1 species